rnacentral:pre_miRNA from 1 species
AUAGUACUCCCUCCGUUCGGAAUUACUUGUCGCAAAAAUGGAUGUAUCUAGACGUAUUUUAGUUCUAGAUACAUCCAUUUCCGAGACAAGUAAUUCCGAACGGAGGGAGUAGUGG